rnacentral:rRNA from 1 species
UACGUAGGUGGCAAGCGUUGUCCGGAUUUACUGGGCGUAAAGGAUGCGUAGGCGGACAUUUAAGUCAGAUGUGAAAUACCCGAGCUUAACUUGGGUGCUGCAUUUGAAACUGGGUGUCUAGAGUGCAGGAAAGGCAAGUGGAAUUCCUAGUGUAGCGGUGAAAUGCGUAGAGAUUAGGAAGAACACCAGUGGCGAAGGCGACUUACUGGACUGUAACUGACGCUGAGGCAUGAAAGCGUGGGGAGCAAACAGG